CUGUCUGAUUCGAGACCACAGGAUCAGAGCCAGGACGUGCUUGUCCCCCAGGUGAUUCUGGGACUUUUUCAGGGCCACAGUGACCUGCAACCAGAGUCAGGCAACAAGACCCAACGGUUUGAGGCUCAGGUGGAGGCAAAGCUGGUAACAGCAGGCAGACCUAUAGUCCUUGAUGGAAACAUCACAUGGCAGACAGGCAGCAGUCUGUCCAUCUCUGCAUCUCUGAGGCGCACGCUGAAUGACUGGGCUCAUGGAACAGUGUUGCUGGAGAAGAAGGCCGAGGCUGGGCUGCAGUCUGCCGUUCUGAGCAUUCAGCUGCAGGUCCCUGGUGUGGUAGAGCUCCACAUACAGGGCCUGCUGGAGCAGCAUGGCCCUGUGGGAAACAGCACCCUGAGGAUCAAGUACGGCCUCCUGGGUCACAAGAGGCAUGUCGCCCACGAGUGCAGUACCCACCAGAGGCUGAGGAUGGAGAAUGGCCCCAAGGACACCCAUGAGUUGGAGCUGGCCCACGAGUUCCACUGCACACAGCUCCCAAUCAUCAGUCACAAGGUCCAGCUACAGCACAAACAAGGCCUGGACCACCUACGCUGGCAGCUGGAGGCCAGCUACGGGGAGCAGUGGGCUGCGAGUAGCAACAAGAGAUUCUUGCGCAUCAGACAGACCUUCAAGAAUGACUCAGGACCAGCCCUCCGUAAUUACUUCCUGGAGCUUGCACUGCAGGUCCCAGAGAGGCAAGUGGAUUGCCUCACACAGCUGUACCACUUGAGCCUCCGGCAGCCCCAUAUCAAAAGCAGCACAUACCUGAAGGUGCUGUUCAAUGGGCAGCUUCCCUUUGUGGCAGGCUUGCACUGGAAGGACACAUCCAAGGCCGCCCUCUGGAGAUGGGAAGGAGCCUUGAACUUGGACAGCCCAUGGCUCACAGUGUCUGCAGCUCACAGGCUCAACUGGCCACACUGGGCUAUGUUCCAGGCUGUCUCGGAGCUGACACUAGCCAAGGCCUGGACUCUCAAGGAUUUGGUGAUCAGCAUGACCUGCAGGAGCCAGGACCAUGACAGGGAAGUCAAGAUCCAGGUGUACACCGAAGCCACCACCUAUCUCUGGGUUUCCAUGGUGACAACCUUGAUGCCAGGCCUCUUCCACAGCAGGAGUGAGCUUGAGUCAGCCUGGAGUACAGCUGUGCAGAGUGAGAUUCAUGCGGAGAACAGCCAGGACAGGAAGGUCCUGCACUGCUGGCUGAAGAGUCUCCGACGGGAGCUGAACUUCACAGCAGCCUACAAGCAUACAAAGAAGCCCCCAAAGACCCAGGUGCUGCUGACAGUCCUGGGGACUAGUGUCCCGGGCCAGCCUCGAGGCCUGCAGCUGGAGGGAGAGCUAGAGCAGCUGCAGCGAGGCAAGACUUUGUACCGGAAGCGGGGAACAUUGCUCCUCAGGCACCCCUGGCACCUCCUGGUCCCUCAGAGCCUCCUCUUGCAGGGGACCUUCAUGGUGGACAAACAGCGCCAGCAUCACUCCCUGGAGACCAAGGCUGUCCUGAAUAGCCAGGAGGAGAUCCUACACACUGUGGUGCUGAGCCGCCAGGCUGGACACCCCUAUAUCUGCACAGGCCUGACCCAUCCCUUCAAUGAUAAGACUAUCCCCAGGAGCCUGGAGGGGUGCCUGGUGGCUUGGAAUCUGAGCAAUUCUAAGAACAGUGAGCUCAAGGCUACAUUAAAAGUCAACCAGAAAGUCAUUCUGUAUCUAAAGGGUUUACACCAGGACAGCUCUCAGCAUGGAGGGAUCCAGCACAGUGUGGCUUUGGAGGCCACCCAUUCCUCCCAGACCCUCCACUUGAAUGGUGGCUUUGACCUCACAAGGCGUCGUCGACAAGGAACAUUUGACUUCAGUACAGAUGUACAAGCUUCUAUCAACCACAACGCCACAUCCCAGGUCUCGGUCCAGCUGAACAAAUCAAGCUCCCACUUGGCAUUUUCCUUGCAGUUCCAACCUCUAGACGGCCUUGCCUUCCCACCCAGCUUACAGGUGCAGGCUGCCACAGGAUGUCACAAGGAGCACAGAGUGGACGUGUCACUGUCUGUGCAUGUGUCUGGCCGUGAGCUGCUUCUGCUAGAGGUGGACACUAGCAAGCAACGUAGGAGGAGCCGCCGGGGCUGGAACAUGAGGGCCUCCCUCCACCAGGCUGUCUUCAGCACCCCCAGAGCCCUUCAGCUACAGUUGUCCUCCAUGGUCACCCCAGCAAGGGUACAGAUGUUUUCCAAGGUGCUGGUGGACCAGGACUCAGCACAGCUGCUCCUCAAAACAUCUGAGGGGAGACGGGGAGGCUGGGUCCUCAGCCUGUGGAGCCUUGCCCAACACUCGGUGGCUGGCUGGACAAAAGUGCCCCGUGUCCUUAGCCUCAAGAGUAUGCUAAAGCAGAAGAUGGCGUUCAGAGAAGGUUCUGUUAUGGUGGCCACUGACUCAGCCAUGCUGAGCUUCCUCCUGCGGGAUAAGUAUGAGGAGACAGGGAAUGGCAGUCUGCACAGCAUGACCUGCACCAUCACUCAGAAUUACAGCCAGGCCUUGCCGGCAGAGCUCCAGCUGAGAGGGCGGCAGCAGACCUACACUGGAGCCCUUGGGGGCCAGGCCAGCAUCCAUGGUGACUUGAUCAGCCUGGCCCUGGAUGGGACCUGCACCUGGGAUCUUGGGCAUCAUCAGCUUUCAGACAACCUGACUCACAACUUGGGCCCAUUGGGUGAUGCAGGACCAGCCUCCAAUUCUGGGUUGCAAGUGCCCAGUGCCCAGGAAUCCUCCAACCGCUCAGCACAGAUGGAAUUGUGGAGUGCAAACUGUCACCUCAAUGCCAGUCUUGACCCCUCAAGCCCCACCAUUCCCAGCCACAGACACAGGGCUGUCCCCUUCUCCAUAUAUGGCCAUGGGCACAUUCAGUAAUGGGGGUGGAGAUUUUACCUAAGGCCAGAGACAGCUGUAGGUGGAACAGGGAGGAGCAAUGAGCUACAGCAAAGGCCAGCAGACUUCACUAAGAGGCGAUGAGAUGGGAAAACCUGCCAGGUGUGGUGGCACAUGCCUUUAACCCCAGCACUUGGAGGCAGAGGCAGGUGGAUCUCUGUGAGUUUAAGGCCAGCCUGGUCUAAAGAUCGAGUUCCAGGCCAGUCAGGGCUACAUAAAGAGACCCUGCCUCAAAAAAGAAGAAAGAAGGAGGAGGAAAAGGAGAAAGAAGAAGAAGAAGAAGAAGAAGAAGAAGAAGAAGAAGAAGAAGAAGAAGAAGAAGAAGAAGAAGAAGAAGGAAGAAGAAGAAGAAGAAGGAAGAAGAAGAAGAAGAAGGAAGAAGAAGAAGAAGAAGGAAGAAGAAGAAGAAGAAGGAAGAAGAAGAAGAAGAAGAAGAAGAAGAAGAAGAAGAAGAAGAAGAAGAAGAAGAAGAAGAAGAAGAAGAAGAAGAAGACCUAUAGGCCAUGGGAGUCUCCCAUAGGGGAUAGCAACCAUUGACAGUAGUUGAUGAAGAAGCAGAGCCAUAUUCUAAUAAAACUUUAUUGGCAAGAUCAGGUCCAAGAGCUGAGCAGUCCUAGGUUUGUGACCCUAUUUUCCACCAUUUGGACAUCUUCACCUUCCCAGGCUCACUCUGGCUAUUCUCCUUGGAUCCCUCCCUGGAACUCUCUGAGCCCUACGUCACUGAUGGGAACCUGUAUGACUUCAGGCCUGUUCUUUCCAUGCUUUAGUCCUGAAAUCCCUGGGGUUCUGGGAUGUGGCCAGCUUGGGAUAGUCCGUCCCUAUCGUAUCCCUGCAGGUCUCUGUGGACAUUCGUGAUGGUGCCGCCAGCUUUGAGCACUCCACAUAUAUUUCAACAGGCCCUCUAUCCAUCAACUGCUCUGUAAACUACUGGGCCCAUGAGGGCCGUCUGGAGCUAUGGGGCCACAGCCAGCACGACAGUGAGGUCCUGUUGAAGGCCGGGCUCCCGGAUGAGGCCAACCUGCAAGCUGAACUACAGAUACAGGGUGAGCUUGGAUCCGGAGGGCAGUAUUGCUGAAGUUUUCUUGUCUGCCAGGCCCCACCACCCUUGAGUCCCAAAUAAACACAUGGACAUUAUAUUAAUUAUUAAACUGUUGACUAAUGGCUAGGGCUUCUUAUUGGCUAAUUCUCUCUUAAUUAUUAACCCG
rnacentral:lncRNA from 1 species